rnacentral:rRNA from 1 species
GAUGGACGCUGGCGGCGUGCCUAAUACAUGCAAGUCGAGCGAACAGACGAGGAGCUUGCUCCUCUGACGUUAGCGGCGGACGGGUGAGUAACACGUGGAUAACCUACCUAUAAGACUGGGAUAACUUCGGGAAACCGGAGCUAAUACCGGAUAAUAUAUUGAACCGCAUGGUUCAAUAGUGAAAGACGGUUUUGCUGUCACUUAUAGAUGGAUCCGCGCCGCAUUAGCUAGUUGGUAAGGUAACGGCUUACCAAGGCAACGAUGCGUAGCCGACCUGAGAGGGGGAAGGGCGACAGGGAGAGUGAGCGACGGCCCAGGGGCCUACGGAAGGCAGCAGUAGGGAAGCGUGGGCGAUGGGCGAAAGACUGAAGGAUCAGCGGCACGUGGAUGAAGAAGGUCUGCGGAUCGGAUAACGCUGUUAUUGGGGAAAAACAAUUGUAGAAGGAGCGAUGCAUGUGUUGACGGUACCUGAUCAAGAAGCCACGGCUAACUACGUG